GGGGUUGUGGCUCAGUGGUAGAGUGCUUGCCUCUUACGUGAGAGGCACUGGGUUCAAUUCUCAGCACCA
rnacentral:tRNA from 1 species